AUGUCGGCCAGCUUCAACUGCAGCACCGCCUCACGCUGGAAUGUGAUGAUCUGGCAUCUGAAUGACAGGGUGGUGCUCACCAUCUCCAGAAGACACGGGAUCAUGGAGUGCACACAGUGUGAGGUUUUCAACCACUCCAGUCCAGACGUGAGCAGCUGGGAGAUGGUUCUACAGCAAGUCGAUCUCAAAGAUCAUACGGUGACCUGUGAGGUCCAGAAUGGGCCCAAGAACUCAUCCAACCUCUUUGUUGAAGAGACUGGCAGUAUUCAGAUCUCAGGAGGGAAUGUAUCAGUGGUUUGGGGGCAGCAGGUUGUCCUGCAGUGCCAGACUCAUGGCUGGUUCCCAUCCCCCAACCUCACCUGGCUGCUCAACGGAGAGAAAAGGGACACGCUCAACACCAGCAGCAUGCUGGACACUACAGGACUGUACAGCACCACCAGCACCUUCACCAUCCGGGCCAACAAAAGCAGCCGAGUGGAGUGCCAGGCAUCCCUCUCGGCCCUGCUAAAGCCACAGAGCAGUGUGGUCUCACUCACAGUGGUUAUGGAGAUGGACACGACUCUGGUUAAACGGCUUGUAGUCUACUUGAGCUCCAUCACCGCAGUCCUGGCUGUGGUCAUCUGCACGGUCCUCUGCUCCAGGAAGAUGGGGAGGACUAGGAAGUGCAGACACCCGAAUGCAAUGAGAAUUGUCCAAGGUGUGAGUGCCAACUCUGUUGCUACGGAUACAGAGGGCAGGAUCAAUCCAGGAUACAUCUCGGCAUACAAUACAGGGAAUGACAACAGCCACCUCAGCAACAGUGCCCAUGGCCAGAAACAUGCCAUCGCCUCUCAGCAGAUACCUGAUGUCAUCUCAUCCAAUGACCACACAGCCUGUACCUUCUAUAGUGCAGAUGGGAUCAAGACAUCUAGACGGGUCACCACAGUUUGAUGUGUAUUCUGUUUGGUCAGACGUAAAUCAGACAUAUGACAUAUUUUAAUUUUUAUGAGCUGCAACAACUGAAAGAACUCAACUUUCAUGACCAGUUUUAUUACUAAUUGUUAUUUUCUUCAAAUGCUUUAAAGUGGAAAUCUAGCUACUUAAUAAAAAAAAGGCUUCAGGAUGCA
rnacentral:lncRNA from 1 species